UUUCAGAGAAGGUGCUGAAUUCAGAGUGAGAUUGACUUUUAUCUCAUUGUGGAAACUGGGAAGGAAAGGAAUAAUGUGUGGCUGUACGUUUGCAAAAACCAGAUGCUUCUUAGAGGGCUGAAUGGCUAUCUUAACUUUAGGAAACACAGCACAAGAUCAAGACAACCGAGCUGGAAACUGUAAAAGAACAAGAUUGCAGGCUCUUCUGUGUCAUGCAGGUUUACCAAAUUGGCCUUUUCGUAAGGGAAAACUAGCAGUCAUUGAUGGAAAUUCAUUGCUCUCCCUCCUUCUUUGCUCUGCUAGAGAUUGCUGCAG